rnacentral:rRNA from 1 species
UACAGAGGCCCCAAGCGUUGUUCGGAUUCACUGGGCGUAAAGGGUGCGUAGGUGGCUUGGAAAGUUUGAUGUGAAAGCUCAGGGCUUAACCCUGAAAUGGCAUUGAAUACUACUGAGCUGGAGGUUUGGAGGGGGGACUGGAAUUCUCGGUGUAGCAGUGAAAUGCGUAGAUAUCGAGAGGAACACCAGUGGCGAAGGCGAGUCCCUGGACAACACCUGACACUGAGGCACGAAAGCCGGGGGAGCAAACAGG